rfam:Salmo salar isolate Sally breed double haploid chromosome ssa25, whole genome shotgun sequence.
UGCAUUCACUACUGUAAGUCGCUGUGGAUAAGAGCGUCUGCUAAAUGACGUAAA